ACUGGGCGUAAAGGGAGCGUAGGCGGUGAGGUAAGUCAGAUGUGAAAUUCCAGGGCUCAACCCUGGAACUGCAUCCGAUACUGCCUUACUAGAGUAGUGGAGGGGCAUCUGGAAUUCACGGUGUAGCAGUGAAAUGCGUAGAGAUCGUGAGGAACACUAGUGGCGAAGGCGAGAUGCUGGACACUUACUGACGCUGAGGCUCGAAGGCCAGGGUAGCGAAAGGGAUUAGAUACCCCUGUAGUCCUGGCAGUAAACGGUGCACGUUUGGUGUGAGAAGGUUCGACCCUUUUCGUGCCGGAGUUAACGCGUUAAACGUGCCGCCUGGGGAGUACGGUCGCAAGACUAAAACUCAAAGAAAUUGACGGGGACCCGCACAAGCGGUGGAGUAUGUGGCUUAAUUCGAUGCAACGCGAAGAACCUUACCUAGGCUUGACAUGCAUCUCUAAACCGGUGAAAGCCGGGGAGCGGAGCAAUCCGUAAUUUGCACAGGUGCUGCAUGGCU
rnacentral:rRNA from 1 species